rnacentral:rRNA from 1 species
UGAACGCUGGCGGCGUGCCUACUACAUGCAAGUCGAGCGAACAGAUACGGAGCUUGCUCCUUUGACGUUAGCGGCGGACGGGUGAGUAACACGUGGGUAACCUACCUAUAAGACUGGGAUAACUUCGGGAAACCGGAGCUAAUACCGGAUAACAUUUGGAACCGCAUGGUUCUAAAGUGAAAGAUGGUUUUGCUAUCACUUAUAGAUGGACCCGCGCCGUAUUAGCUAGUUGGUAAGGUAACGGCUUACCAAGGCGACGAUACGUAGCCGACCUGAGAGGGUGAUCGGCCACACUGGAACUGAGACACGGUCCAGACUCCUACGGGAGGCAGCAGUAGGGAAUCUUCCGCAAUGGGCGAAAGCCUGACGGAGCAACGCCGCGUGAGUGAUGAAGGGUUUCGGCUCGUAAAACUCUGUUAUUAGGGAAGAACAAAUGUGUAAGUAACUGUGCACGUCUUGACGGUACCUAAUCAGAAAGCCACGGCUAACUACGUG